rnacentral:rRNA from 1 species
GUGCACGCUGGCGGUAGGCCUAACACCUGCAAGUCGAACGGCAGCACAGGAGAGCUUGCUCUCUGGGUGGCGAGUGGCGGACGGGUGAGGAAUACAUCGGAAUCUGCCCAGUCGUGGGGGAUAACGUAGGGAAACUUACGCUAAUACCGCAUACGACCUUCGGGUGAAAGAGGGGGAUCGCAAGACCUCUCGCGAUUGGAUGAGCCGAUGUCGGAUUAGCUAGUUGGCGGGGUAAUGGCCCACCAAGGCGACGAUCCGUAGCUGGUCUGAGAGGAUGAUCAGCCACACUGGAACUGAGACACGGUCCAGACUCCUACGGGAGGCAGCAGUGGGGAAUAUUGGACAAUGGGCGCAAGCCUGAUCCAGCCAUACCGCGUGGGUGAAGAAGGCCUUCGGGUUGUAAAGCCCUUUUGUUGGGAAAGAAAUCUUUCAGGCUAAUACCCUGGGAGGAUGACGGUACCCAAAGAAUAAGCACCGGCUAACUUCGUG